CAUUCGUGGCUGUGGUGCCAUCCACAAGUGUGGUUCUCACCGCCGGUGGUUCACCACACUGCCGUAAAGUCCUCAUAGAUGACGCUCCUAUGCUUCAAGAAUUUGAGUUGGCAGUCGCUUUGUCGGCUGCUUUAGCCACGAGUUGAGCUAUUCGCUCCGGCAACAAGUGGCAACCAGUAGAAUGAACCGGACCUGUCGU
rnacentral:lncRNA from 1 species